rnacentral:rRNA from 1 species
UGGGGAAUAUUGCGCAAUGGGCGAAACCCUGACGCAGCGACGCCGCGUGAGCGAUGAAGGCCUUAGGGUUGUAAAACUCUGUUUUAAGGGACGAAUGUCGGUGGGAGUAAUAUGUCCGCCGAAUGACGGUACCUUAAGAGGAAGCCCCGGCUAACUACGU